AGAUGGCAGCCGUGUCCCUCCAACGGUGCUAGCCGUCAAAAACUUAAAAGAAGAAGACGUCACGCUGUCUGUCCAUUGAAAGAGGCUGAUGCUUCCCAGUGUCUCCCGCUGCACUCGGCCCAUCUACCUUUCUGUAGCUCGGCCUCUGGCUCACUUCAGACCGCCCAUGGACCCGGACCCUAACCGGCCUGUUGAAACAACCAUCAGAACCAAACUGACAGAAAAGUUCAAGCCCGACCACUUGGAGGUCCACAACGAAAGCCACAUGCAUGCGGUUCCCCCCGGGUCCGAGUCUCACUUCCGAGUCCUGGUGGUCAGCUCGCUGUUUGUGGGUCUGCCGCUGAUUCAGCGCCACCGUCUGGUCAAUGAGGCGCUGAAGGAGGAACUGAGUAGCUGUGUUCAUGCGUUGGCCAUCCAGGCGAAGACCCCUGAGCAGUGGGGCGUGGACCCCGCUCUGGGCAAGAGCCCGCCCUGCAUGGGGGGUUCGAAAAACGACCACACUGUGGAGGAGAAGCUGAAGGCCGGGCGGGAAUGAAGCGCUGGACAUUCACAACCUGCUCUUUGGUUUUAUCUGCUCUGAAGAGUUAUUGUUAGCUGAUGACGACCGGCUUCUAGAGGGACCACCAUCCUGGGCCUGGACCCGACGGCCUGUCAGGCCGAGCAAAAGGUUCUGGUGAGGAGGGAGAACAACUGGUGUCACUGGUCUAGAAAAAGGCAAACAGGAACACAACCAGUUUAUGACCCCUGGCACUCAUUAGAGCCAGGAGGGGCCUGCGGAUCGACCCGGGGCCCGGAGCGCCUGCAGACCUGCACUCUGCUGCUGCUGGGGAGAUUUAUGCGUUACGAUUCCAGGUGGCGUUAAGAUCCAACAGAGGGGACGAUGAGCUGGACUGCUGGGACUUGUCUCUGCACUUAACAGUUGAUCACAGCUGGAAGUCCUGGGAGUUUUUCCUCAGGGUGUGAGGGAGUCUGGAUGGACUGGUUUCUGGGCCAGAGAGCAGCACAGGCCAAGGCCCCAACCCUGAGCCCUGAGCCCUGCGCUCGUCAUGCAGCUCUUGUUCGCUCCCCUCCAGGGCUUGGAGUGUGCAUGUCAGGACAAAUAGGGUGUCCUUCGUCCUCCCUCGCUGUCAGUCACAGCAGCUUCUCUGCUACUCUGGGCUCCGUUUGCACACCUUGGCCAGCUCUCCUGAACUCGGAGCUUUCUGAUGUACUGGCCCAGUCAAAGGACGUCCGAAGGCUCCGCUCGGACUUCCACAGAGCGUGAUCUAUUGUUCAUCUGUCAGCAGCGCCGUGAUAUAUUCUAUCCUACCCUGGUGGACAAAACGGACCCCGCAGCAUCGCCGGGCCGCUGACUCUGACACCAGCCAGCUUGACCUCCAGGGCACAGAUGUGGAGGCCUUCCUUUCCCAGGAUCCCCCAGGGAGGGCGUGGACAGGUUUUACACCCUGCAGCAGAAGGGAGGAGGCAGAGGGACGGGCGGCUCGCUGUCCGAAGGGUCAAGUAUUAGGAGUUAAGUGAUGCAUAAGUAAUGCUUUGUUUGGACUGAUCUGAGGGAAGGAAAUUUACUUCAUUUGUGUGUAAUGAAGUUAUUUUUUUUCCUUUGAAACUGAAUUUUUAGAUAAAGAUUAAAGGCAGAAAAGGCUGAGGGUUCAUGGGAAACGAGCUGAGAGUCAUAAAGACAAAAAAUCUCCAGAUGGAAGUGAAAUAAUCAGCAGAUUAAUGUAGAACAUUGUUUUAAUGACAGAAACUGAGGGAGUGAGAACAUCUUCGGGAGGCUGGAGAAACCGGGUCAGACAGAAAAAUCAGACAUGAGGUCAAACUUCAAACCUGAUUUUUGGACACAUUGUUGUCCAUAUUUAUGUUAGUUAUGCAGAUUUCUAAAGGUUUACUUUCUGCUCAGGUGCUUUAUUCAAUAUUCCUCAGAAAAUAACACAUUUUUACUAGAAGUUAAGUGAAAAAGUCCAUCUAAAUAAAUUCACAACAUUUUUAUUUAUUGUAGAAAUAAAAAAUAUUAUUUUUAUUCUUAAGUUGAAAUCAGCUGAACAUACAGUACCUAAAAUAUACUUAGUUUUUUUUUUGUCUAGCUCUCUGAAAGUUCAUUACCCAAAUAUUUUCAACUAUUUGAAGCCUUUUACUCUGAAUCACUCAGAGAAACAAACUGAUUCUAUUUUUAUGGUUUAACUAUUUGCUGUUUGUAAAAUACAAAAUGAUUCCUAAAGAAAAAUGUUCAGCAUCUCUCAGGUCCUCCCAGCUCUUUGUUUCAUUUCUUUGCUCUUUGUAAGACUUUUACACGGUUUGUCCACUGUAGUAGAUUUAUUGCCCUGAUUUUCAUUUUUGUUGCUACUUUCAACACAGUGUUGUCAUGGUAACAGGUAAACUCUAGACCUUGGCCUUUUCUGGACUGCCAGCUUACUUACAGUGACCCUCACUGGCACUCACUGAUAUUAGAAUCAGGUCCUAUUUUGGACAUUUCUUGACUGUUCAAAUAUUAUAAUGGGUUUUAUAAUGCAUAAAUACACAUGCAUAUUUAGUAAAUUUAAGAAAUAUAUAUCCUACUCAUUUGCACAUUCCUUUUUGUUAAUUGCUCAUAGCAUCACAAUGUAAUUUUGCCUUUACUGUACAGUCCGUCAUUCUUUACUGGGUUUGUUUUUCAUAUAUUUUAAUAGUUUUAUCUUUGUGUGAACCUACAUGUCUUGAUUCCCGUCAUUUUGCUGCUGCUACACCUGAAUUUCCCUCCCACUUUGUGGGACAACAAAGCGUAUUUAUAUUAUAUUUUAUUACAUUUGUUUGUUUUAAGUGCAAACAAUCUAUUGCAAUUUUUCCAUGAUGGAAAAUGUCGCUUGAGCUUCGAUUCUUUAGUCAAAACCUGGUGAAAGAAAUAAGUCUGGUGCACUUUUUUUUUUGGAGAAAACUUUCCAGAUAUAAUUUCAAAUUCAGAGAUACUGGUUAGACUUGUAGUGAUAAAAAUUACAAGCUUAUGUUGCUGCAACAAAAUGUCACAAUGAAUGUUUAUCUGCUGCAAAUUGAUGACAGAUUCCCCAGUUGAUCACUUUUUAUUUUUCCUGCACCCACUUCCAGUCAGCUUUUCUUUUGUUCUGGACAGAAGUUUCCUGGUCUUCAUAAGGAGUUUAAAACAUUUACCUCCCAGCUGCUAAACUCAGAGAAACCUGCUGGUCAUUAGCUCUUUCCCUCGUCAGCCGGCUGGAGUGGCAGCUCUCUGUGGUCGCGCUCACAGAGGCCUUUCAGACCUUUUGGCUUCCAUAGCACAGGCGUGAAAAUCGGCUACAUUUAAUCAGCCAUGGUGGAGAAUUUAAAGAAAAGGAUCAAGAGAGCUUUGUCCUAAUGGAUUGGCUACAGUUUGGGGGUCCAGCACACCAAGUUAUACCUUGUUAAAGGCACAUCACUGCGACAGUAUAACUCAAAACACAUGGUGUUGCCUUUAAGCGCUCCCUCUUUCUCUCUGGAUAAAGGAAGAAAUUGAUUUUGAUAUGUUUUUGUGGUUCUUUUUGACAUUUGAGGGCUAAAUUUGUGCAACAGUGAUUUCGAUUGACUGUCAAGGCAACCACUUCAUCCGCGCUCCAAAAAAAUAGAAAAUUAAAGAAUAAGUCUGCUUUUGUGUUUAGGAAGUACAUCAAGUGACUCACGUAUACAGAGGGUCAAUUCUUUCAGGCUGUCUGUACAUUAAAAUUUCAAGCUUACGGCCAUGGCAAUUCUUACCAAUACAGUAAGGCCAUAGAAGACGUAGGCGACAUUCAGAAAGGGCCCGCGCAGUCAAACAAAGCAGUAAAUCAAGUGCCUUGACACAUGCUCACCAGACAGUUUGCCGUUUGUCACAGAGGCUGAAUGGAACUAAAAGCAAAGUUGUGGACGCAUCGGGGUGAUCGGCAUUGCUCAGAUAGAGCACAAGGGGCCUUUUCAGACAGCUGCAACACUGAUUACAUUGUGUGAAGGCCAAUCAAAAGGGGAAAAUGACGAGAGCAGCCAUGCCGGACACACACAAUGCACAAAUGGUGGCAGGGAGAGGAACAUUUUGGGAUGCAGAGUCUCACACAUGGGAAACUCUCAGGAAGCGUUAGCAGCUUUGUAAAGUUGAAAUCAACAUGUUUCAUGAAAAAGGUGACAAAUAACAACCUCUUGCUGUCACAAAAAGCAAUAAAUCAAUCAAUUACAUAAUAAAUUAAACUCAAUAAUUUCCAUUGCAUGACUUGUCAUUUUUCUCUUUUUAUCUCCCAAUUUCUACCAAAAACAAUCUUUUUACAGAAACUUUAUCAUUAAUCUUAUUUGUUGCUUCGGUUGUUUUGUUUAUUUAUU